GUUAUUGGCUUUAAAGAGGAGGUAGAGAGAGAGAAAGAUUGGGAUGGAAAGUUUAUUUAAAUGGAUAAGAACAGAGAAUUUUCCAAACCUACAGAAAGAUAUCAAUAUCCAAGUAUAAGAAGGUAAUAAAAUGCCAAGCAGAUUUAACCCAAAUAAGACUAUCUCAAGACAUUUAAUAAUCCUUGACCCAAAUGUCAAGGAUAAAGAAAGGGUCUUAAAAACAGCAAGAGAAAAUAAGCAAAUAACAUACAAUGGAGCUCCAAUACAUCUGGCAGCAGAAUUUUUAGUGGAAACAUUUUUCUUGCUGUCUGGUUGAUAUGCAGAAUUAGUGCUGCUUCUCUACCAUUUAUUCAAUAAAUAUUAAAAUAUGUACUGGGCAUCAUUUUAAAUUCUUGAGACAUAUAGAAUAGAAAUUUGAUUUUAUAUGGUUUGACUUAAUUUUCAUGAAUCAAUCUCUGCCAGUGUGGCGCUUACAUUCUAGUGGGGGACUGGGUUGACCUGAAAUUCAAUCACAUCCAUUAUUAUAAGAGAGGGGCAGAGGAAGAUUACACAGACAAGCAUAGGAGAAGGUGACAUGAAAAUGGAGGCAGCAAUUGGAGUGACACAGCCAUUAGCCACAGGACACAAAGGAAUGCCUGCAACCACCAGCAACUGGAAGGAGUAAAGAACGGACUCUCCCACAAAAUCUCCAGAGGGACUGUGGCCUUGCCAACUCAUUGAUUACAGAACUGCGGGAGAAUAAAUUCUUGUUUUAAGCCACUGAAGUUGUAGUAAUUUGUUAUAGCAGCGCUAGGAAACUAACACAGCACAAAAACUGCAAUAUAAUUAUAAUUUUUGACAAAUGUCGAAAAUGAAAAGUACAGAAUGAUAACAGUAGAACAUGGAAAACUACAUUGUAUUGAGUAUAAUAAGGAGAGGGACAAGGGAAACAAUAUAGACUCAGUUUAUGGAAUAUCUGGUUAAUAAUCAUAGUGCUAAACACAGGCACACACUUGUAUGCAUGCAUUGCCAGAAAAAUGCCCUACCAAGCCCACAUUCCAAAACAUAAAAUUAUGUGUGUGUGUGUGUGUGUGUGUGUGUGUGUGUGUAGAUAAAUAGGCAGAUUUAAAA
rnacentral:lncRNA from 1 species